GAUGGAAGAUCUACCUUUCCUUGCCUCCUCUUUAUAGCUCAAACCUAUGGUUCUGUCAAUCUUAACAUAGUAUUCAAAGUAAAAUUUUGGUUGUGACAUUCCUACUUCCAUAUCUUUAUUGUCAAAUGUUAAUUGAAUAGCAUCCGCCAAAGAAUUGCUGAGGCAGUGUGGUGUUACCAGGCAUCAGAAAAAGCAAUUGCAAUCUUGGAGAUGGAAUCAGCUAAAAGUCAGAAAGAGAUUGACAGUUUGAAUUCACAACAUAGUUAUAUUGAGAAACAACUUGAUUCGCUGGAGGAUGCAUCACAACCAAGGAAGGAUGAGCUUGAUAGGUUGGAGGAGCUCAACAAAAUAAUAUACUUACAUAUACUUACAGCUACAAUGGAGUGUUGCUACUAUGAAACAUUCAAACAUCCAAGUUACUAGCUUCAAUGGAGUGUUGCUACUAAUUCAUGCUACCAACUGUUAGGAUAUUGAUAAAAAUAGCACGGAUAUCAACCGCCAUAGAGUCCAAAUAGAGACUGGCCAAAAAAUGAUGAAGAAGUUGACUAAAGGGAUUGAGGAGUCAAAGAAGGAGAAAGAAAGACCUGUUGAGGAAAAGGAAAAAUUACGAGACAUUUUCAAAGAAAUUGAGUUGAAAGCUUUUACCAUUGAAGAGAAUUAUAAAAAGAAACACUGAUCGAUGAACAUAAAGAUGCAUUAGACAAUGCAAAACCCAAUAACGACAAAGUGAAAAAGACUGUGAUUGGUGUUACAGGCAUUAGAGGUUGAUGCUGGAUACAAAUUACAAGACAUGAAAAAGGCAUACAAGGAGUUGGAAUUGAAGGCGAAGGGUUACAAAAAAAGGCUUGACGAAUUGCAAACUGCUCUUAUAAAGCAUAUGGAACAAAUUCAGAAAGACUUAGUGGACCCUGAAAAGCUUCAGGCGACCUUGACUGAUGAAACGAGGCUUGUGACCUAAAGAGGGCUCUUGAAAUGGUAGCAGUGCUGGAAGCCCAACUGAAGGAGAGGAAUCCUAAUCUUGAUUCUAUCUCAGAAUAUCGGACAAAGGUAUCAUUAUAUAAUGAGCAAGUUGAGGAACUAAAAUGGUCACUCAACAGCGCGAUGACGUAAAGAGACAGUAUGAUGAAUGGAGGAAGAAGAGGCAUGCAUAUCUAUCUUUAUUUUGUUGUCUGAUUUAUGUUCUUUUUAUCCUUCUACUCAAUUUUUUAGUUUUCACUCAACUGGAUAUGAUACAAUAACAGGUUGGAUGAGUUAAUGGUAGGAUUCAAUGCAAUAUCUUUGAAGCUGAAGGAGAUGUAACAGAUUUGUGAAUGGAUCACUCGAUUCACUCCCCACAAGUUUUAGCUGGAUUAUAAAUUCUAUUGUCCUUUCUGACUCUUUGGUGUCUUUAGUGUACAUUAAACAGUCUGAAUUGCAAGAAAUAUAACUAGUACCAUUUGUACCCUGGUGCUAGAUCUUAUGCCAUUGAAGAACUCCACUUUCGAUUAACAAAAUUCUUUUCUAUGCUCCUUCAUUUGCAAUCAGUGGGGGCUUUUCAUAUUUGAUGCUUCUUGUUUCAUCUUUCAUGCUUCUUUCCUUUUUUUCUUGUAUUAUAUGCGUUUACAAGUAAUGAUUGUACUUUUGCCCUUCUAAUGGACUUGCCAUAGAUGAUCACACUUGGAGGUGAUGCAGAACUUGAGCUAGUGGACUCUUUGGUUCCUUUCUGUGAAGGUGUUGUUUUCAGUGUCCGACCACCAAAGAAGAGCUGGUAGAAUAUGGCAAAUUUAUCGGGUGGUGAAAAGACCUUGAGUUCUUUAGCUCUUUUUUUCGCACUUCAUCACUACAAGCCAACCUCCCUUUAUGUAAUGGAUGAAAUUGAUGCUGUACUGGACUUCAAAAAUGCUUCUAUUGUGGGGCAUUAUGUGAAGGACCGAACAAAGGAUGCCCAGUUUAUAAUCAUAAGUCUUCGAAACAACGUGUUUGAAUUGGCUGAUUGACUUGUUGGGAUCUACAAAACUGAUAAUUGCACUAAGAGCAUUAUGAUGCAUUUGGUUUUGGUGGCGUUCCUUAGCUAAUGGUUCCAUGUCAUGAGUAAUUAUUUACCUGGUUGUCAUGGAAUCGAUUCUUUAUUCAGUUCUGUAUGAGUUUGCAUAUAUCAAAUAGUUAUCUAUUUUUGAA